rnacentral:SRP_RNA from 13 species
GCGACCGCGAAGAUCACGGUGCUCAGCGCGACCGCCCACGGGACGGUCAUGUACUUCGUCAGGCUCGGAAGCAGGAACCCGCGGAACACGGUUUCUUCAAU